GUGCUCACUUCGGCAGCACAUACACUAAAAUUGGAAUGAUACAGAGAAGAUUAUCAUGGCCCCUGCGCAAGGAUGACACACAAAUCCGUGAAGUGUUCCAUAGUUUU
rnacentral:snRNA from 1 species